rnacentral:piRNA from 1 species
CAAAGUGAUUGGUACCUCGUUGUCUGAUG